AUAUUGCACAGUGUUCGUUUUUCAUGCAAUUUCCUUCAUGUGUAAAAAUCUUAGUAUUCUUUUUUAAAAAUGAAACUUAUGGAAGAUGUCUUCCAACUACAGAACACGCGAUAGCUUUGUAUUGCCUUAUACUAAUUUUUAAAGCCCCUAUAUCGCAGGCUGCACGACAUGUCAUACAUUAUUUCAUAUGUUUUAAAGGACACAAGGCAUGUUUCUAAACUUUUUUUUUUCCAGCAUAAUUAAUUCUUGCCAUGCAUUAAACUAUUUUACAUGCGUUUGAAAUAUAACAUUUUGCGUAGUUUUCAAGUUUGAAAGCGGUGAAAUUCAAAUCUUGCGAUAUGCAUAUUUUCUUCAAUAUUUGUAUGCUCUGGUGGUCAAAACAUCUAUACCGCGUCCAUUGGAUCAUUUGGGGUGACAACAAUGCACGGACAGGGGUGUUGAUUUUUCACCGCUUCGACAGUGGACAAGGGAAGUUCAUUUCCAAUUUCCACAAAAGGGACCCCUAAUUGUCUGAUUAAAUCUUUUACUGCAAUUAGGGAGGAAGGAAUAAUAAAGUUUUUUAAACUAACGACAAAGUUGAAAUCGGAAAUAUGUAUUGUGGUUAAUUAUCGCAAUAUAUUUUGGCGAACGAACUAUAAGAAUUAAUUACUAUAAGCAUAAGAAAGACAAAAUGCACAUAAUUUUGUAUAUUUUAGAGACAUGUGAUGUGUCCUUUCACCAGAAUUAUUUGGCUUUAAAUCGGAGUUUACAAACAGCGGUCACUCCGCCAUUCCUAAUAGAUAUUCAGAAGAUGGAUCAGGUGACAGUCACGUGUUCAGUUCAGACUGUCUGUGUAAAGCUGUGUAUUAUUUUACUAUAGUACCGUACCAUAUGUGUUUUACGUGUUUGCUGGAGAGAAAGAAAAUAUAUCAAAUACAUAUAGCCUCUUAGUAAUAUUCCUAGACAUCGUAGACAUCUUCGUUGUUUUACGCUCUUUCAAACCUAAACAGUUGCGUUGGGUUAUAUGCAAAUCAUGUUGGGAUCACAGGCACCUGAAGUGUAGAUAGCUUGUAUAGAUCUUAUGUACAUACCCCAAUCCCUUCUAGAAAGAAAUGAUUUUUAUACAGAACCAAUAAUCUAUACUAAUAUAUGUAAUAGUAUCUCAAAAGCUUACAGAAGUUAGAAACGGACUGUUCAGAACGACUCAUGAGAGUGAUCUGUGGGGGAAAUAACAGAUUUUGGAUAAAUUAUUAGUUCUGUAUAAAAAUAAUUUCAUUUUAGAAGGGGUUAUGUACAUAUUAAAGAUGUAUACAAGCUAUCCACACUUCAAGUGCCUGUGGUUGGGAUUCCCCUCAUGAAUGCACACGAGGCUAUUUACAGAUGCAUAAGCACAUGACUUCAAAUCGGAGAGAAAUGACGCCAGUUCUAAAAUAACAGAUUAAACGUUUGAAUAACAAAGAAAGAAAAGAGUUCCGAUAGCAUAAUAGGCACGUUUCGAGUUCAUCCGGGACACCCGGGAUUUUUCGCAUUUAGCCACGCCGAUCACGUGACAUGAACAAAAUGUUCAGCAGGGGUACUUCCGGUUGAUAUUGUUUACUCUGGUAACAAAAUUGUCUUUAACAAAAUAUGCAUUUUGUGGCACGAAAGGUCGCAAUUCAGAUAAUGGAAAGAAAGGGUUGUAUAUCUACUUUGGAUGAUGUUAAAGUUCACCCUUUCCCAACCCUGGAAAAAAAUGUCCACGCAGAGGAAACGAUGGCGUCAUUUGUUUAGGAAACCACGAGUAGCAGAACAGUGCAGAAAAUUAGAGCGAUUACUACAUUCCGUAAAAGCUGAUCCAACACAGAAGCAUCCCUGUUCUAGCCAUUUCACCAUAUGAAAGGCGAAUAUAACAAACAGUGAUCCAAGUUUUAAGAAAACCAAGAGGUUUGUACUGCCCUUUACAAAUAGAUACUGCGCAACAUUAAAAUAGGCCUAGUUGAUACCCUUAUCCACAUAGAUUUGAGCAAUGUAUGCAUUUUACAAUGGUGAUCAUGUGGCACUAAAUCGAUAGUAGAUUAUCAUAUAUCAGAGAAUUUACACUUCGAACUCAUGGUUUAGGCUCAUAGGCAAUUUCGGGGGGGGGGGGCAUAUAUAAUUAUAAUAUUGGGGGAUCUAUUCUUACAAAUCUAGAUUAGGAUUUGCAAUAAUCAUUCAUCUAAGCUCCAUACAGAUAGUUCAUUUACUUCCAAAUAAAUUUCAAUUCAUAUCAAAGAACUCUCAUUUAUCUUUGCUCCAACUUGACCAAGCAGUGUGCUUUGUAUACGUCAGAAAUUACAUGUACAUGUAUGUACACUUCCACUCAUAUUUAUGUGCUCUCCCACUUCUCAUUUAGUAAGAAAAAUGAGCAUGAUUUUAUUUCUUCAUAAUCUAUUCAACAUAUUCACACAGGUUGAUAACAAUGACUGUACUCCGUAUGUUGACUGGAAUUAUUGACUGGUAUGCAGUAAAACAGCUGAAGGAAAGUUCAACUAUUAAUUCAUUUCAGCCUGAUAGUCUGGCAGUAUUAUAGGUAAUCUGGCAGUAAUGGCAUGACAUCAUGAGAGCUAAUCAACAUGGUUAAUGAUGUAUAAAGACACUGUCUGAAGACCUCGAGGGAAAGGCAAAGAAAAUGGAUGAUCCACUUCCUAUAUCCCUGUAAAAAAGAGGAAGGAUACCACAACAUUGACGAUAAAUUAUUGUCAAUUCAAGAAGCAAAGUUGUGAAAAUGCAAAAAUGAUAAUUAAUGUAUUUGUUAGAAAAAUAUCGUUAACUGCAUAUAUAUUUCUUGAACUUAUUCAGGAAUACAUCAGAUGUAGUCAUUCAUAUUAAAACUGAAUCUAUGAAUUUUCAUAACUUUUAUCAAUAAAGUUUACUAUAUUUA